CGCAUCGCGCAAACGGCGGACGGUUGAGUCAUGUCUGGGGACUGCCCGAUAGAGGGGGAUAACUACUGUAAACGUUUGCUAAUACCGCAUACUGUCGCAUUACCCAUAUUGGAUUAGCUAGUAGGUAAGGUAAUGGCUUACCUAGGCGACGAUCCCUAGCUGGUCUGAGAUGAUGAUCAGUCACACAGGGACUGCGACACGGCCCAGACUACUACGGAGGCAGCAGUGGGGAAGAUUGCACAAUGGGCGCAAGCCUGAUGCAGCCAGGCCGCGUGUAUGAAGAAGGCCCUAGGGUUGUAAAGUACUUUCAGUCGGGAGGCGUUACCGACAGAAGAAGCACCGGCUAACUCCGUGCCAGCAGCCGCGGUAAUAC
rnacentral:rRNA from 1 species